AUGGUCUUUGAUGCUCGACACUUCACACCAGGCAUGUUGACCUAUAGUGCAUUCUGGCUGACUCGCUGCAACUUAUUGUUCCUGUGGUGUGUUGAACCUUACAACCCAGAGCGUGUAAUGAGACAGUUCGGUCUCUAUCAAGAAAUUCCACCACCUUUUCCCAGACGUAUCGACGAGGAAACACAUAAGUAA
rnacentral:rRNA from 1 species